rnacentral:hammerhead_ribozyme from 1 species
AUCCAGCUGACGAGUCCUAAAUAGGACGAAACGCGCGUCACACUGGAU